rnacentral:tRNA from 1 species
GGAGAGAUGGCCGAGCGGCUGAAGGCGCUCGCCUGGAAAGCGAGUAUACGAAUAAAAUUCGUAUCGAGGGUUCGAAUCCCUCUCUCUCCGCCA